GACGAACGCUGGCGGCGUGCUUAACACAUGCAAGUCGAACGGACAGGCCCUGCUUUUGUUGGUCGCUCGAUUGGCGAACGGGUGAGUAACACGUGAGUAACCUGCACUUGACUUUGUGGUAACUUCAGGGGACUGCGGCUAAUACCGGAUAGGAGCUCCUGCACCACGGUGGGGGUUGGUAAGUUUCGGCGGUUGGGGAUGGACGCGAUGCUUAUCCGCCUGUUUGUGGGGUUGUGGCUGUCCAAGGCUUUGACGGGUAGCCGGCCUGAGAGGUUGGCCGGCCACAUUGGGACUGCGAGACGGCCCAGACUCCUACGGGAGGCAGCAGUGGAGAAUAUUACACAAUAGGCGGAAGCGUGAUGCAGCAACGCCGCGUGCGGAAUGACGGCCUUCGGGUUGUAAACCGCUGUCGCCGGUGACGAAGCGGGCGUGACGGUAAUGGGUAAGGAAGCACCGGCUAACUACGUG
rnacentral:rRNA from 1 species